CAUUAUCAUUUUCAUUACACAUUUAAUUCUAAGAUUUGUAUAUCUGCACUGAACUCGGAGAUAAUUCAGAAGUAAAAGAAUUAGUAAGUAGUAAAGUUAAGAAGUAAGGAAUUUGAUGGUAUUCUGGUGGAAACUGAGAUGACAUUAUAAGUAAUAGAGAACAGUUUUAAAUGCAUGGAAUAUAAAUGUGCGGUGCGUUCAAGUUGCCAAUAGGAGAAUGUGGAAGGUUCCUCGAAUGUAAAAUCUAGCUACUUCAUUAUCUAGAAUGCUUCUUUCACGGGAAGAGGCCAGAAGAUUUCUAACAGUGAAGCGAACUUUCCAUGAUUUCCCUAAUCUCAAUGAAUGACCUAAUCUUUUAAAAUACUUAUUAUAAUUUCGCAUGCUUGCAUUUCCAAGGGAAACAAUUCGGAGAACUUAGAACUUGAACGCACAUCAUAUUAAUCACUUAAAUAUAAUUUAUAUAUGUUUCUAUUAUUUUAGAUAUUUAUGCUUUUGUGUGUUAUACAUUUAUA